UAAACUUUUAUUUUUGUCUAAGCCGGAGAUUUUGUUGUUGUUACAGGUGUACUGAGAAUUUUAGCAUUGGAAAGAAUUCAGGGCAUUGCCCUUCCAUCCUGGUUCAAUUGAGCACAAGAUUAUAACAGCAAUUAAUUAUCAAGAGUAAAAGUUAGUGAAUAUGCUGAAGCAAAAACAGGCCAGUUUGUGAUGUUCCCCAACACUUUCCAAAAUAUAAAUCAACAUCUCAUUGGUUUCAGGGCAUUUGAGGACAGCGACUCAUGUCCUCGUGGUCCAACCUCGAAUAUAAUGCUUAGAGGGUAUACAUGAAUGGUGGCUUUGUUGCACCAAAGCAAAGAAUGCAUCCUCAGUUGUAAGUGGCUAAACGGAUUGUACAUGUAGAGGAAAGGUCGACUGAGGAUCGCUCUGUGUAUCCAGCCAUAUGGGAAGUGAUGGAUCAACGUCUGUGACUUGUCUGGACAACACACACUUCCCAGUAGGAGUUCAUAGAAAAUAUUUUAUUGGGCAAAGAUUUGUCACCAUGACAAGAUCUGGCUUGCUUUCUUGGUCAUUCUGUAAAUAUGUUUGCCCUUUUGUAUUUCUGUAAUUUCAGCUAUUUUAUCUUGCAAAACCCUUUGUAUCCCUGUGUUGAGUAUGAGUGGUAUAAAUAGAAGAUUAUCUUCAUGAUACAAGCACUGAUGUUCAUUAACCAAGUUCCUACUCAGGGAAAGGACUAAAACAUCUUCACUGAAGGCAGAAUUGAGCAUAGUCUACCUUGACUAUACAGAAUGUGAGUCAAUAAAUAUGCAAAGUCAAUAUAAACACACAUUGCAACACUCAACCUUUCACUACACGUUAUCUGUGGAAAAGUACCAGGGUACACCGUGUCACCACGGCAGAUUCCCCUGUUGUUUUACAGCAAAGCCUCAGUCAGGAGGAGGAGGCGGCGGUGCGGGUCUGCACAGAAACAAAAGGUGUGGUGCGUGUGUGUGUGUGUGUGAGUGUAUGUUUUUUGUGUGUAUGUGUGUGAAAGGGAAGUUAUUGAUGUGAUCCUGGGUGCCUCUCCAGUGGUUUAGCUUUGGAAAUGUGUCUUUACAAUAGAGCAGCUGGGAAAAUUUGGAUGAGGAAAAUGAAUGAGAACGUCUUUCACCUCAACAACUGUCCCGACAGCCGCUACUGACGGGGGAAACAGAAGAAGACUGUUGUUGCACUGGGCUGCUCCCACAGGUCAACGUGGAGGUGUAUUUUGCUGAAAAAGUGUGUUUUCUGAAAAAAAAAACAUGCAGGUUGUCCUGUUGAAGGAUUUGCAGCCAUGGGAGAGUUAUUUGUAGUAACUUGUUAUUUGUAGUUAUGAUAACGUUUGCACACAUUUUAAAGGGUUAUAAAAACAGUACAUAUUUGUCUAUCUCUGUGUCUGUGUUUUAUACAUACCACAUACUGUACAUACUUUAGCAUCAUGGAAGUGCCAGCAUUGCCAACACAUGUAUAUGCAUUCCAUCUUGCUCGAUAUCAGAAGAUAUGUUUUAAAUUUUUUUAAAUAUUUGUCUUGUAUCACUGCAGUCAGUUGUUUCCUUAUUUCUUGGUUUCCCCAACAAUAUGCUUUUUUGCUCACUGGCAUGACAAAACCCUUAGGUUAGAUUUUUUCUCUUUUUCCCAGAGACACUGCUAAAACGUAACUCAAACCAAAGUGGUUGUGUGAAUGUCACUGAAGUAUAAACAGUGGCUGAUGCUGGAAGGCAGCCCGUUGGUUUUUGUGAAUGCUUGCUCAACAUUUUGUAAACAAUGAAUGCAGGAGAAAUGCUAAUGUGGGAUUGCGGAAUCCAAAGCUCACUUUAACAUUCUUGUGAAUGAGGUGAAAAUAUAAUUGAGGGAAAAAUGUCAUUAGGUGAUGUGCUGCCAAAAUGUUUUCUUCAGAGAGUAUUGGAGAACUACAGGAAACAGGUGGGUAAAAGUUACUAUUUUGUUUGCAUAUUUGGCCCACUGUACAUUUUUGGACUGUGAGGGCCUUGUUUAGCAUAAUGUACAUGUUUGAUAUUAUGUCACUAAAAAUGCAAGUGCAUUUUAAACAAAUAUUAACAGUUUUUAAAAUGAAGUGUGCUGUAAUUCAAGUCACCUUAUUCUUGUUUAAUAUCAAUAUAAAUCAAUAAUGUAAUUUAGACAAAUAUGGUGUUUACCACCGAGCAAAACAUAAUAUGUGCAAACUUAAUUGAUGAUAAAAAGGGUCACAUGUCAGAAUGAGAGGUUAAACAUGUUCCAGUAGAUUUUGUGAUGGGAUUAUAUUAUAUUGUUGUAUUCUAUUAAGUGCAAGCAAGAUCCAGACCACACAACAACCCACCAAAGGUAUCAAAACCUCCAAUAGAGUUGACAGAACAAAAAAAGUUGACACAAAGGAUGGAUUGUAUUCCCUGCAUGCUAUUGUCUGAUAUAUAUUUGACAUGUUUUUAUUGUGUCUACUCCCUAAGCACUUCAUCAAAGUGCCAUCUUGUGUGUGUAAUUGUAGUCAGGUGACCUCCUUCGAGACAUACUGUAAUUGCUGUGCAGUGAUUCAUUCAUAUAAAAUAUUUAUAUCAUUUCACUUUGAAGAUUCCCCCCCACAGAGAUUUAUUUCAUUGACUAACUGUGUGUGUAAUAGUAAAAUUAAUAAUAAUAUGCAACAUGAUUUUCACAUAGUUUACAAUUUCUGAAAAAAGCAACCCACUUUAUGAAAGGUGGGUGCACUCAAUCCUGCAAAGGGCAGAGAAGCUGGUGAUUGUACCUUUGAGGUUAGGACAUAAUACUAUUAGUUGUUGUCUGGCUGCCAGCUGCAGCCACUGAGGCACUUGUCAUAUGACCAACACGGUCAUUAGCAGCUAAUUCAGAUGCGAUGUGUGACAGAACUUAGUGACCUCUGAAGAAGCCGGAGGUUCCUCUCACCUCAUGCUGGUGAGUCAGUGAAAAAAUGUCUUUCAUAGUAGUAACUUUAAAUGGGUUUGGCAGCAAAAGGAUUUGACUCAAGAUGCCAGAAGUCUGCAUACCAAAGAAAGGAGAAGUAGGAACACAGCUCUGAGGACAAGAGCUAAGGUUAUACAACAGAUUUUUGUUUGCCUUUAUUUCAAAGACCAAUAUUACUGCAGGUAAUUUAAGCUAAGGGACUGGAUUUGGGUGAAUAAAAGAACAAUUGUAACACCCUCUCCACAGUAUCUCAAAUUAAAAUAACAUUAUUGACUUGGUUUAUUUUGUAUUAAUGACUAAAACUGUGCAUCAAAGUAUUUAAGAUAGUGUACUCUAAUUCAAAAAUGUUCAUGUAUAACACAAGGCUAUGUCCCUUUUUCAAAAACAUGAAAUUAUUGGACAAAUGAUAAGUGUAACAUCCUGGUGAUUGAAGACAUUGACAAGGACGAGGGAAUUACAAUAACCAUAAUCACCAGCUUUUCUUUUGAAAUGCUGAUAAGAGUAGGAAAAAAUUUAAUUAUGUUGUAACCAUAGUAAUCGCUCCCCCAGUGCUACCUCUGUAUAAUGUCUGACAUUUCUACUUUAAAUAUCUUUUCUUACUGACAAACAUCUCCCCUGUUCUUGUUGCCUGUGGAAAUCACUGUCAGGUUCAGCUGCCUGCUGGUAACCAGAAGGAAAGCAUUUCAUGCAUGCUCACACCACAGAUCUGCCCUCAACCUUAAGCAGGGGAUUGCAUUUGAAAGAUGAAACAAACAACAACAUUGCAUGUUGUUAAUAUGCAAGCUAUCCAGUGAUGUCAUUAGAUGUGUCCGGGAGAUGAGCCUAGCAGCAUGCUAACAGUGGACAAGUGCAUCAUUAGGGUCGUCUCUUAGUUACCCCUGUUCAUACCUAACACUGUGACAUAUUGCUAUUGUGAUGGAAAUAAUCACUUUUCUGAAACAUAAAUCCUUUUCUUCCUGACAGCUUUAGUACAAGCAAAAAUGUUUGACUGUGAGUCCUUGUUUCCCCCACUCUGUUUGAAGUGCCAGCUCCUGAGAGAAGAGCUAGGGAGUCGACAAAGGAGACGGUGCAUUAUUCUUUCACUAAAGCACAUUUGGAUUAUGAGUGUUGUUUGGGUUUCAACAUUUUCGGUUGCUCCAACAACUUCUGAUUUAUUGUAGGUUUUAAAUCAAAACAGCUUCCCUCAAAAAACAGCUGAGGGACAAAACAGAGCACUGUGUUGUUUCUGCAGUGGAGGUAUUUGAAAACCAAGUUAAUGAAUAAUGGGUAUUUUAAAUAUUUAAACUGCUGCUCAUAAAAUAUGACAUCGCCCAGCAGUGGGUGUCUGCCCCUCUGUGCAGGGUUGUUUGGGAGAUUCACGUGGCACGUUUUUUGCCUGACAGUUAAAAUGUAUGUGCUGUUAGUUUCAGGAAUGCUGGGGAAAAGUGGAAAAAAGGGAGUGUCACUCAGAGCAGAUGUUCUGCUUUUGAUCAUCUAUGGUGCACUGAAACUUUUGAUCUUUUAGUGGUAGCAUUCUACCUUACACACCAAAAUACUAUUGUGUUUUCAAUGUCCAACUUGUUUUGAGGAAACCGAGUGCAGUUUGCUCUACAUACUGUACAAUAGAUAUGCUUGUUUUAUCAAUGAAAUAUUAGGUUACUAUGGUUGUAACAGUAAAUCUAGUGUUUUGCUUUAUAUAUAUUUAUCUAUAUUUUUUAGUAAAACUAGGCUUGGAAUUUUUUUUCUUUUUAGCAUGAUUUUCUUGAUGGAACAAAAAAAAUUGUGGUCUUUUUCAAUUUGUUCAAAAUUUGUUUAAUUUGUGGUAAUUGCAAUGUCCCUUUACAUUUCCUGUUUACAACACUUAAAAGAAUAUUUUGACAUUCCGGGAAAUAUGCUUAUUUACUUUCUUGCCACGUCUGUCUCAUGUACGAUAAAUAUGGAGCUACAGCCAGCAGCACCUCUGUACAUGUAGCAAAAUCUACCCAGCAGCAGUAGCUUAUCACACAGAGUAGUUCAUGGUCAUUCAGCGCACCGAGCUGCAUAUUGGCACAAUACUCCUGGAGAAAAGGCAGUGUGACAGCAGCUAUAGACAGGUUCACCGAGAGACAGCUUCACCCAGCAUGCUGGAAACUCAGGUUCCUUGGACAACAGGGUGCAGAUCUCAUCAAGUGGAGCAAACCUGGUCAAGGUGCAAUUAUGUAAUAGUACCAGUGUGAUUAACUACCACCCUCAUCAUUUUAUCUCAAAAAUCACAAUUUAAGUUGCCAAAAGCGUAGCGGCUUUUUUGACCUCAUUUGGAUAAGGCACUUUAACUGGUUUAUGUAUAUAACAAUUCAGUUUUAUUUUGCUGAGGACAGUGGGAGAGAGCAGGAGAUAAAGACAACACACAGUAGCACAAUGCAACCAUAGAUCCAGACUCCACAGCUCCGGAGCCAGAAACACCUGCAGGAAGCGAAAGAAGGAGAGAGGAGAGGGGCGAGAAAGUACAAACUACUACGGGAGAGGGAAGAAGUCCAGACCUGUAUGCCUCCAGGACUCUGAGGCGUGCGGGGAAAAUUGCGGGUGACCCCACCUAUCCAGGACACAAACUGUUUCAGACUCUCCCCUCUGGCAGGAGGGUGCGGUCCAUCAGGACCAAAACCUCUCGCCACAAGAACAGUUUCUUUCCGAUGGCAGUGGGCUGCCUCAACAAUGCCUGGGUCCCCACUGUCACUGACUCUCCUGCCCCCCUCCCCAAACACACACACUCACACACACUCCUGACCUCACACUUUACAACAACGCUCAACUGUGCUUUAUGCUCAUGUUGCGAACUUUUGCGCAUACUUGUUUAUUGUAUUGUAGUAUUAUUGUAUUUUUUUGUAUACUUGUAAAUUUUUUGAUUUCCUUACUUUUUAAAUUUUGUAUAUUUAUAUUUAUAUUUAUGUUCAUGUGUACUUUAAGCACCAGUUUAUUUGAAAAUGUACCUAGCAAUAAACUUUCUGAUUCUGAUACUGAUUCACUGUCUGCUUCGUAAAGAAGACUAAAAACAUCUUUUUUCACAAGCUUUUUGUUAGGCUUAAAGUGUGUGGAAAUGUGUUUUAUUUUAGAUUCAGUGUUAAAUAUUUUUAUAAUAGUACCUUAUUAUCUUGUUCCUUUUUUAUUGUAAUGCCUUCUUAUCUUAUAUGUUGCAUAUUACAGUCAAUUCUUUACUUUAUUGGCAUGGAGAUAGUAAAAAAAGUACACUACAUCGGGUGUACAGUCGUAGCAAGACUCAGAACAAACAGAUUACCGGCCCUCACAGACAAAUAGUCUUCUUGUGUAUUUUUAAUGCAUUUCAGCUUGAAUGAGAAACGACAUGAGAUGUUUACAUUUCCAAAGCAAGUAUUAAAUAAACAUGUAUAUAAAGAGAAUAAUUAAUUAGCAAGAAAACAUAGAAAAAACGCAUUUUGUGUGUGUGUGUGUGUGUGUGUGUGUGUGUGUGUGUGUGUGUGUGGUUGUGGCAUGUUAAUACAUAAUGGGCAGCAAGAUUUAAAUGUUCCUUCACAUUUUAGGAGUUUUAUUUGUUUUUCUCCGAUUGGUGUUUGGAAAGCAGUGUUGUUGUGAGACUGGUCGGAGUGUGUUGGCUCUUAGUAGACUCUUUUCUGGGCUCAGCUCUUGGGUUUGGAGGACUUUUCAAUUGAGGAAGUCUAGGGGGCUGAACUUAAGGUGAUUAAAACAUGUGAGUGCUCUCUUCUGAAAGUUAAUUAUCAGUGGGUAUCUGCCUAAUUCUGCUCUGCAAGCAUUUGUUGGUGUUUUUCUGUGUACAUGUAAAAUGCACAUAAAGAUUCUGCUGAUGCUGUUGUUCUGAUGUUUAUCAGCUAUGAUGACUGAGUGGAGCCCAUACUUCAACCCUAUACAGCACAAUGGGCUGGAUGAUGCAAUCAAAUAUUUUAAGACAAAUAUUAAUUGGAAUUUGUAAAUGAUAAAAUAUUCUUUUAAUUGCAUUUAGAGCUCUUUACUGCCAUGUUGAAACUCUCUGAUGCUGUCAUGGUUAUAUCAAGGUAGGCAAACUCGUACUAUGUUCAAUUAUAUAAUUAUUUUUGCUAAACUUGUAUUUGUUCUCCUGACAUCUGGGGCGUUUGAAAAAUCAUGACAUUCAUUUUCUUUAUUUUAUGCUAGGGCCCAGUUCUGACAGGACUUUACCUCUAUGUCCAGCUGUAGUCCUUGUUCUGUAUGAGACAAAAAAGGUCAUCAUCAUUAUAUAUAUUGUACUAUGAAUAAAGCUGGACUUUAAUUGCAGCUGUGACAAACACCUCUUUUCCAAAUACACUGAUUUAAGCAUAUUGUAUACAUUUUGCCCCUAUGUAGAAGUCUGUAACAAAGCCCUUCAUACCAAAUAAAGUCAAAAGCGUACUUGUAAUCAAUAAAACAACUGAAUAUCUUAA